rnacentral:rRNA from 1 species
UACGUAGGGGGCAAGCGUUGUCCGGAAUUAUUGGGCGUAAAGAGCGUGUAGGCGGUCCGGUAAGUCAGCUGUGAAAGUCAAGGGCUCAACCCUUGAAAGCCGGUUGAUACUGUCGGGCUAGAGUCCGGAAGAGGCGAGUGGAACUCCUGGUGUAGCGGUGGAAUGCGCAGAUAUCAGGAAGAACACCAACGGCGAAGGCAGCUCGCUAGGACGGUACUGACGCUGAGGCACGAAAGCGUGGGGAGCAAACAGG